rnacentral:rRNA from 1 species
UGCAGAGGUCUCAAGCGUUGUUCGGAUUCAUUGGGCGUAAAGGGUGCGUAGGCGGCGCGGUAAGUCGGGUGUGAAAUCUUGGAGCUUAACUCCGAAACUGCAUUCGAUACUGCCGUGCUUGAGGACUGGAGAGGAGACUGGAAUUUACGGUGUAGCGGUGAAAUGCGUAGAUAUCGUAAGGAAGACCAGUGGCGAAGGCGGGUCUCUGGACAGUUCCUGACGCUGAGACACGAAGGCCAGGGGAGCAAACGGG